AUUGAACGCUGGCGGCAGGCUUAACACAUGCAAGUCGAACGGAGUGGCGGACGGGUGAGUAACGCGUAAUCAACCUGCCCUUCAGAGGGGGAUAACAGUUGGAAACGACUGCUAAUACCGCAUACUGAAGGAGGGGAUUGCGUCUGAUUAGCUAGUUGGAGGGGUAACGGCCCACCAAGGCGAUGAUCAGUAGCCGGUCUGAGAGUAUGAUCAGUCACACUGGAACUGAGACACGGUCCAGACUCCUACGGGAGGCAGCAGUGGGGAAUAUUGGACAAUGGGCGAAAGCCUGAUCCAGCCAUGCCGCGUGUGUGAAGAAGGUCUUCGGAUUGUAAAGCACUUUAAGUUGGGAGGCGUUACCAACAGAAUAAGCACCGGCUAACUUCGUGCCAGCCGCCGCGGUAAUUC
rnacentral:rRNA from 1 species